rnacentral:tRNA from 1 species
AGUGUACCACACUGCUGUACUCUGUGUUUGUUUUUAGGAAAUGUGGAAACAGCAGAAGCACAUCAAGAUGAUUUUAGUCAGCUGUUAAGAUCUGAAGGAAAACUUGAAGCUCACAAGGUUCAGGGAUCACCCUGCUGCGCCAGGCAGGAGGACCUACCCAGUAUGUUCCCUCCAUGCUGGAAUCGCCUACAGGCCCCAGCCCAAGAAUGGAGAGGCAUAGAACCCGGAGGCCACCUGCAGAAGGGACUAAGGGGUGAGUUCUCAGGAUGCCAUUGUCAACCAAAAUCAAUUCUACAAACAGUGGUGUGAAUGCCGACUCUGUCACAGAGACAGCAUCGCUGAAAUCGAGCACUGUUACUAGUGUCCUUGGGCAAAGACACUGGCCCUGGGGGUGCCAAGAGACAAACUUGGCCACUUGUCCCUAUAUGCCAAUCAAAGAGAUGAAUCGUGGUGAAGGGUGAGAAAGGGAGAACUGGCUCUGGAGCAUUCUCUCUCUCUCUCUCUCUCCAUGGGACCCAGGGCUUUGCAACAUACCAGGCAAGUGCUCUACCAUGGAAGGACAUCCCCAGCUCAGCCCAGGAAAGGAGUUUUUCAACACAGCCACACUGGGACAAACCGACACUGGGGCACAGUGACCAAAGAUCUGUCUUCCAGGGACUGACAGAAACUUUGUGGUUUUACAGAAAAGGGCAAUGAAGGAGGUUUGCAUAGCUGCUGGGGAGGUCGUCCUGGUCAGGUCAUUCUGGUUGAUCAUUAUCUCAGGACUGGUUCUGUAUGGCUCUGGAAAGGUCACCAUGGCUGGAGGGAUGGUUCUGUUCUGAUCACGAGAAGAUUACUCCUGCUCAGGGGGCAACCUCGGCUCUGAUAUGGCAUCACUGCUCAGGCUCCGGGAGAUGUCUCAUCAUGUCUAUGGUGGGUUGAACUGUGCUUCCAGGCUGUUGCUUUGAAGUAGUUUCAGUCCUUUGUCAGAGUGAUGCUUAUCCAUCAGGCCUAUUCCUGGAAUGCAGAUAAUUGCAAGAGGAAGUGGCUCAGAGAAAAAGCACUGAAGCCUUGGAAUGGAGUCAGAGAGCGCCAGGAUGGAGUCCGUCAGGCCCAAUCAGCUGAGGGACCCCCAUUUUCUUCUUUCAUGCAUCUGUGCCACGUUCUCCCUUUCCACAGGCCUCUCUCGGUGCCUCUUUUCCCUCCCCUUCACUCUUAGACCUGCUGUUUUAGGCUCCGGGAAGUAAGCGUGUUGGGAUUGGAGUCAAUACAAUGGGAGUAGCCUAGCACUCCAAGGUCAAUGACAACUGGGGAUCCAUCCAUUAUUCCUGAUGUUACAGACAUCGCAAGACCACCUGGGGCUGGAUGGAGUGGCUCACACCUGUAACCCCAGGAGCUCAGGAGGCUGAGGCAGAAAGAUCUCUAGUUCAAAGCCAGCCUUAGCAACUUAGCUAGGCUCUAAGCAACUUAGUGAGAAACUGUCUCAAGAAAAAAAAAAAAAGGAUGGGGAUGUAGCUCAGUGGUUAAGGAUCCUUGGGUUCAAUUCCCCAUAAAAAAAAAAAAGGUAAGGAAGGAAGGAGGGAGAAGGAAAGAAAAGGAAGGAAGGAAGGGAGAACUGGUGGGAAAACAUGUAACACCCAUGAGAGAGUCAGUUCAACCCUGGCCAGUGGACCACUCCAAGAGACCACAGGGGACUUUGAAAUAGCCCCCCACCCAUACACAAGCACUCCCAGCUUGGCUGUGUUUUACUAAGGAGUCAUAGAUUACUACCUUGAACUGUGUGUGAGUGUGAGUGUGUGAGUGUGAGUGUGAGUGUGUGUGUGUGUGUGUGUGGUGCUGGGGCCUUGUGCGUGUGAGGGAAGCACUCCACCAACUGAGCUAUAUCCCCAGCCCUACCCUGAAUGUCCUUAGAAAUUAGAAAGUGUCCCAGGCCACUGGAAGUGCUAUCUCUGAAUGGGAGGGCCAUUCUGUCACUGACAUUCUGAGCACUUUUGUGGCUACAGUGAGGAGAAAAAGCUGCAAGAGGAGGCGGGGAUGAGAGAGAAGAAAACAUGGGACAUUAAAGAACAGCACGCACACCUGUCAUCCCAGUGACUCAGGAGGCCGAGGCAGGCAGAUCCCAAGUCCCAGGCCAGCAUCCGCAAAUUAGCAAGAACCUGUCUCAACAUAAAACAUUAAAAAUAACAAGUAAGGGGCUGGGGUUGUGGCUCAGUGGUAGAGCACUCGCCUAGCAUGUGUGAGGCACUGGGUUCGAGCCUCAGCACCCCAUAAAGAUAAAUAAAGGUAUUGUCCAUCUACAACUAAACACUAAAGAUAUUAAAAAAUAAAUAAAUAAAUAAAAAUUGAAAAAAAAAAUGGACAAGAGGUAGAUAUAGCUCAGUGGUAAAGCACACCGGGAUCCUGUUUUAAUCAGCUUUUUUGCUUCUGCCACUCAAAGACCUGACCAGAACAACUGUAGAGGAGGAAAGAAAAUUUGAUAGCUCACGGUUUCAGAGGUCUUAGUCCAUAGAAGGCUGGCUCCAUUCCUAGAUGCUUGAGGUGAGGCAGAACAUCAUGGCAGAAGAAAGCACCUCACAUGAUCAGG